GACGAACGCUGGCGGCGUGCUUAACACAUGCAAGUCGAACGGAAAGGCCCUGCUUUUGUGGGGUGCUCGAGUGGCGAACGGGUGAGUAACACGUGAGUAACCUGCCCUUGACUUUGGGAUAACUUCAGGAAACUGGGGCUAAUACCGGAUAGGAUCUCCUGCUGCAUGGUGGGGGUUGGAAAGUUUCGGCGGUUGGGGAUGGACUCGCGGCUUAUCAGCUUGUUGGUGGGGUAGUGGCUUACCAAGGCUUUGACGGGUAGCCGGCCUGAGAGGGUGACCGGCCACAUUGGGACGGAGAUACGGCCCAGACUCCUACGGGAGGCAGCAGUGGGGAAUAUUGCACAAUGGGCGGAAGCCUGAUGCAGCAACGCCGCGUGCGGGAUGACGGCCUUCGGGUUGUAAACCGCUUUCGCCUGUGACGAAGCGUGAGUGACGGUAAUGGGUAAAGAAGCACCGGCUAACUACGUG
rnacentral:rRNA from 1 species